rnacentral:rRNA from 1 species
AGAGUUUGAUCCUGGCUCAGGACGAACGCUGGCGGCGUGCUUAACACAUGCAAGUCGAACGAUGAAAGCGGGAGCUUGCUCCUGCUGGAUUAGUGGCGAACGGGUGAGUAACACGUGAGCAAUCUGCCCCUGACUCUGGGAUAAGCGUUGGAAACGACGUCUAAUACCGGAUACGAGAUGAGACCGCAUGGUCAUCAUCUGGAAAGAAUUUCGGUCAGGGAUGAGCUCGCGGCCUAUCAGCUUGUUGGUGAGGUAAUGGCUCACCAAGGCGACGACGGGUAGCCGGCCUGAGAGGGUGACCGGCCACACUGGGACUGAGACACGGCCCAGACUCCUACGGGAGGCAGCAGUGGGGAAUAUUGCACAAUGGGCGCAAGCCUGAUGCAGCAACGCCGCGUGAGGGAUGAAGGCCUUCGGGUUGUAAACCUCUUUUAGCAGGGAAGAAGCGAAAGUGACGGUACCUGCAGAAAAAGCGCCGGCUAACUACGUGCCAGCAGCCGCGGUAAU